rnacentral:rRNA from 1 species
AGUGAACGUUGGCGGCGUGGAUUAGGCAUGCGAGUCGAGCGAGAACCGUAGCAAUACGGGGACAGCGGCGAAAGGGACAGUAAUAUGUAGGUACCUACCCUCGGGUCCGGGAUAGCUGCGGGAAACUGCAGGUAAUACCGGAUGACAUCUCCGGAUCAAAGGUGUGAUUCCGCCCGGGGAGGGGCCUGCAUCCUAUUAGCUAGUUGGCGGGGUAACGGCCCACCAAGGCGACGAUGGGUAGCGGGUGGGAGAGCACGACCCGCGGCAUUGGGACUGAGACACUGCCCAGACACCUACGGGUGGCUGCAGUCGAGAAUCUUCGGCAAUGGGGGAAACCCUGACCGAGCGACGCCGCGUGCGGGAUGAAGGCCUUCGGGUUGUAAACCGCUGUCGUAGAGGAGGAAAUGCAGUGGGGUUCUCCCCUCUGUUUGACCUAGUCUAGGAGGAAGGACGGGCUAAGUUCGUGCCAGCCGCCGCGGUAAAAC